AUCCGACUGACGAGUCCCAAACACGAUGAAACGCACGUCCUGGAU
rfam:Schistosoma mattheei strain Denwood, Zambia genome assembly, scaffold: SMTD_scaffold0005033